ACAGUACUUGACUAUAAAAGAGGCAAAUCUACUCUCAUCUUACGAAAGUGUCCUUCACCAGUCACGGCUGUGACAGAGAGCAAGUAUGAUCCUGAGACUUGAAUGGGCCAUAUUUGGCCAAGAUGCACUUGAAAUCCUCGAAUCCCCUGAUUGCCCGAACCAUCCAGAUCUGCAAAAUUGCCCUUGUUUGAAGAUAAGAUCUCCUUCACUUAAAGACCAUUCAGAGUCCCCCAGUGAGGCAUUUGAAUUUGUGAUCUCUGCUUUGUUCAAAAUUCAGGAAAGCUAUUCCACAGCGCAAUCUUCUAACUGGUGCUUAUGAUUGAUCUCAUGGCUUCUUUGUUCUAAGUUCUAUCGGUGAUAUCUACCAAGUUUACUGGAUAAGCAAAACAAUUUUUCAGAAAAUUCCAAGUAUGUCUUCUUCUUAAGAAUUUGCAGUGGACCUUAUAUAUCAUACAUACCAGCAAAAAGAUGGUGAUAUGUUUCCAUGGAAAUACAACUUCCACAAAAAUUCUUCUAUGUUACCUUUUCACUUGGAUACUUAGCCACUGAAGAUUAUUCUUUCAGGAGUUUAAUGGUUUAACUUCUUGAGAUUUCUAAUGACUAAUUUUAAUGGAGAUUUUAGAAAAAAAAUCAUUGCAUAGCUGUUCAAUAAGCUGUGAAGUAAU
rnacentral:lncRNA from 1 species